rnacentral:tRNA from 1 species
AGAAGUAAGGUUGGUUACUCCAAUAUUUUAUUGCAAAUAAAAAGAAGAUUAAGAUCUACUUCUA